rnacentral:rRNA from 1 species
GAUGAACGCUGGCGGCGUGCUUAACACAUGCAAGUCGAACGGAGUGCUCAUGACGGAGGAUUCGUCCAACGGAUUGAGUUACUUAGUGGCGGACGGGUGAGUAACGCGUGAGGAACCUGCCUCGGAGUGGGGAGUAACAGACCGAAAGGCCUGCUAAUACCGCAUAUGCUAACAGUAUCGCAUGAUACAGUUAGGAAAGGAGCAAUCCGCUAAUAGAUGGGUUUGCGUCUGAUUAGCUAGUUGGUGGGGUAACGGCCUACCAAGGCGACGAUCAGUAGCCGGACUGAGAGGUUGAACGGCCACAUUGGGACUGAGAUACGGCCCAG